rnacentral:misc_RNA from 1 species
GCAUUGAAGAAGGGCUCCAGAGCUUUAAUGGUGUGGGCAAAUGAAACUGCAACAGUAGCAAACGAUACAUUGCUAGUGACAUGACCAAGAGCAUGGCACAACGCAACUGGAAAGAGCAGCUUCAAGAGUGUCGAAUUGAUAGGCGCACGCUUUGGGAGCCCGACGGUCCAGCUCACGAGGCAGUACACGACACCAACAAGCAGAUGGAUCACCG